rnacentral:tRNA from 1 species
GAGUUGGUAGCUCAGUGGUAGAGUGCUUGAUUUGUAUGUAUGAUGUUCUGGGUUCUAUCCCCAGCUUGUUCU